rnacentral:rRNA from 1 species
UACGUAGGGUGCGAGCGUUGUCCGGAAUUAUUGGGCGUAAAGAGCUCGUAGGCGGUUUGUCGCGUCGGGAGUGAAAACCCAGGGCUUAACUCUGGGCUUGCUUUCGAUACGGGCAGACUAGAGGUAUGCAGGGGAGAACGGAAUUCCUGGUGUAGCGGUGAAAUGCGCAGAUAUCAGGAGGAACACCGGUGGCGAAGGCGGGUCUCUGGGCCGUAACUGACGCUGAGGAGCGAAAGCGUGGGGAGCGAACAGG